rnacentral:lncRNA from 1 species
AACGCUUUUAUAGGAGUACAGGGAGGCUGCAGCAGCUCAGAGUCAGUAAAGGGAACAGGAGAAGAGAGACAUGGUGACAGUGGGAGACUCAUUGUACACUGCAGGAAUUGAACUAAAAAGGCAACUCGAAGAUAAUGGCAGCCAGGCUUCACCCUGUCAGAGACAGAGGCCUCAAGACUUGCAGAUGGAGUUAGCGUGUGACCCAGAGCUUCCCCCUUUUGGAUUUAUAUACCAGCAUGAUUAAAAACAAAAGCUCAAACAAUCAUUUCACAUAUUGUCAUGGGAACAGCCUUCAUAACAGCCCACAGAGGAAACAAUACAAAUUUCUAUCAACUGAUGGAUAAAAAAUGGCGGUGUGUUCCUUACACAGGAAUACUGUUGAGCUCCAGAAGGGAAUAGACUAUUGACAGGUGGUAUUAUGUAAGUGAACCUUGUAAACAUCUCACUGAGUGAAAGAAACCAGACAUAAAAUGUCACACAGUGUAUAAUUCUAUUUGUACAAGAUAUCCUCAAAAGGCCAAUUUUUUAGAGACAUAAGGCAGGUAUGUGGUUGCCAGAAGCUGUAAGGAAGAAUAACUAGUGACUGCUAACAGGUGUGUGAUCUCUUUGGGGAUUUGUAAACCUGCUCUGGAGUUAACUGCCAUGAUUGUACAACCUUGUAAACAUUCCAAUGUCCCCUGAAUUGUACGCUUGAAAAUUAUGAAUUUUAAAGUGUGAACUAGAUCUCAAAGACAGAAAAUUAGGAACACAUUUAUGUGAAGAUAUUUGAAAACAAAUGAAAUAAAUACUCUUGGACAAACACU